GACUCUAAAAGAUAAGGCACUUAUAUUUAUUGAAUACAGAAAUUCAAUUUAACUUAAUCCAGUUAAAAUGAAAUUCGCAGUGGCAUUUUUAUUGUUAAGCGUUUAUGCGUCGGCCGAACUUUUGGAAACCGAACCUUUAGAAGCCGGAAACGUUAUCAUUGAAAAAAUUCCUGGAGGUUUAUCUGGUUCCGGUACCACCACACGUUAUUGGGAUUGUUGCAAACCAACUUGCUCAUGGCCUGGAAACGUAAAUUACAAAACCCCUGUAAAAUCCUGCCAGCAUGAUGGUGUUACUGCAAUUGACCCUGAAACACAAUCAGGAUGUGUGGGAGGAGGUGCUUAUGUCUGUACUAACCAAGCGCAACGCUCAGUAAAUGACUCUAUUGCUUUAGGUUUUGUAGCCGCCAAAUUCAUUCACUCCAAUCGCAACAUGUGCUGUUCUUGUAUCGUUUUUAGAUUCAAACCAGCGGAACUUGCUGGCAAACAAAUGGUCUUACAAGUUACUAAUACUGGAGAUGACGACCCACAUGCAACUCACAACGAGUUCGAUAUUGCAAUGCCAGGAAGUGGAGUUGGGUAUUACACCCAGGGAUGUUCCUCCCAAUGGAACGCUGACGUUUCCAAAUGGGGCGAUCAAUAUGGUGGUGUGCACAGUAUAGAAGAGUGUCACAAUCUUCCCGCUCACUUGCAACCAGGGUGUGAAUUUAGAUUCACUUGGAUGAAGGGGUACUCGAAUCCCGAUAUUGAAUUUGACGAAGUCGUAUGUCCCAAAAGAUUAACCGAUAUUAGUGGCUGUUAUCCCGCAUCUCAUCCUUAGGUAGUAAAAAUAUUGACAAUGAAAAUAAAGACAAAUAACAUUUUACAUUCAACUACCUACUGUCUAUACCAGGUGUGUCUAAACAUUCAUCCCUUAUGGUCGCUAAUUAUUCUGUAAAAUAUAGUCUGCGAUGAAUUUUGAAUAUAAGCAAAUACAUUUUAGGAUUUUUAAAUUUUUGUUAUAGAGAGUUUAAUAAAA
rnacentral:misc_RNA from 1 species